GAUGAAGAACGCAGCGAAAUGCGAUACGUAAUGUGAAUUGCAGAAUUCAGUGAAUCAUCGAGUCUUUGAACGCACAUUGCGCCCCCUGGUAUUCCGGGGGGCAUGCCUGUCCGAGCGUCAUUGCUGCCCUCAAGCACGGCUUGUGUGUUGGGCCCCCGCCCCCCGGUUCCCGGGGGGCGGGCCCGAAAGGCAGCGGCGGCACCGCGUCCGGUCCUCGAGCGUAUGGGGCUUCGUCACCCGCUCCGUAGGCCCGGCCGGCGCCCGCCGGCGACCCCUCCUCAAUCUUUCCAGGUUGACCUCGGAUCAGGUAGGGAUACCCGCUGAACUUAAGCAUAUCAAUAAGCGGAGGA
rnacentral:misc_RNA from 1 species